rnacentral:rRNA from 1 species
AAAUGAACGCUAUGACGCUGGCGGCAGGCUUAACACAUGCAAGUCGAGCGGUAACAGAGAUAGCUUGCUAUCUGCUGACGAGCGGCGGACGGGUGAGUAAUGCUUGGGAAUAUGCCUUAUGGUGGGGGACAACAGUUGGAAACGACUGCUAAUACCGCAUAACGUCUACGGACCAAAGGGGGGGAUGCUUCGGCACCUCUCGCCAUUUGAUUAGCCCAAGUGAGAUUAGCUAGUAGGUGAGGUAAGAGCUCACCUAGGCGACGAUCUCUAGCUGGUUUGAGAGGAUGAUCAGCCACACUGGGACUGAGACACGGCCCAGACUCCUACGGGAGGCAGCAGUGGGGAAUAUUGCACAAUGGGCGAAAGCCUGAUGCAGCCAUGCCGCGUGUGUGAAGAAGGCCUUCGGGUUGUAAAGCACUUUCAGCGAGGAGGAAAGGUUAGUCGUUAAUAUCGGCUAGCUGUGACGUUACUCGCAGAAGAAGCACCGGCUAACUUCGUGCCAGCAGCCGCGGUAAUACGAGGGGUGCAAGCGUUAAUCGGAAUUACUGGGCGUAAAGCGUGCGUAGGUGGUUUGUUAAGCAAGAUGUGAAAGCCCUG